rnacentral:rRNA from 1 species
AGUGAACGCUGGCGGUAGGCCUAACACAUGCAAGUCGAACGGCAGCACAGUAAGAGCUUGCUCUUACGGGUGGCGAGUGGCGGACGGGUGAGGAAUACAUCGGAAUCUACUUUUUCGUGGGGGAUAACGUAGGGAAACUUACGCUAAUACCGCAUACGACCUACGGGUGAAAGCAGGGGAUCUUCGGACCUUGCGCGAUUGAAUGAGCCGAUGUCGGAUUAGCUAGUUGGCGGGGUAAAGGCCCACCAAGGCGACGAUCCGUAGCUGGUGUGAGAGGAUGGUCAGCCACACUGGAACUGAGACACGGUCCAGACUCCUACGGGAGGCAGCAGUGGGGAAUAUUGGACAAUGGGCGCAAGCCUGAUCCAGCCAUACCGCGUGGGUGAAGAAGGCCUUCGGGUUGUAAAGCCCUUUUGUUGGGAAAGAAAAGCAGCAGGUUAAUACCCCGCUGUUCUGACGGUACCCAAAGAAUAAGCACCGGCUAACUUCGUG